rnacentral:rRNA from 1 species
GAUGAACGCUGGCGGCGUGCCUAAUACAUGCAAGUCGAGCGAAUAGAUUAAGAGCUUGCUCUUAUGAAGUUAGCGGCGGACGGGUGAGUAACACGUGGGUAACCUGCCCAUAAGACUGGGAUAACUCCGGGAAACCGGGGCUAAUACCGGAUAACAUUUUGAACCGCAUGGUUCGAAAUUGAAAGGCGGCUUCGGCUGUCACUUAUGGAUGGACCCGCGUCGCAUUAGCUAGUUGGUGAGGUAACGGCUCACCAAGGCAACGAUGCGUAGCCGACCUGGGAGGGUGAUCGGCCACACUGGGACUGAGACGCGGCCCAGACUCCUACGGGAGGCAGCAGUAGGGAAUCUUCCGCAAUGGACGAAAGUCUGACGGAGCAACGCCGCGUGAGUGAUGAAGGCUUUCGGGUCGUAAAACUCUGUUGUUAGGGAAGAACAAGUGCUAGUUGAAUAAGCUGGCACCUUGACGGUACCUAACCAGAAAGCCACGGCUAACUACGUGCCAGCCGCCUCAGUAA